CGCUAGUUUGAGUUGUAGUUCCGUAAUGGCGGCAGAGAAAGAUGCGAGCGAAGCGAUUUUGACCGUUCUCCGUCGCAGCAUUUGGAAACAUUUCUGUCUUCCUUCCACUCCGAAUGUCGCAGCUUUCCUCAAUCUUCCCGCUUGUAAACUAGCAGUCUUUGUGACUAUUUAAGCCCCGCCUACCCAGCCCGACGGCCAAUAGGAAAGUAGUGGGCCGUGACACAACGUGAGGUCGUAUUCAUAUUUUUAAAGUGCGAAACAUUUCAGACUCAGUGUGGAAGGACCUUAAUUCCAAUCGGUGAAAGGAGCAAGAAGUGGAAGCACACCCAAAAAGGGAAAAGGGAAAAUCCCCCUUCUUAACUUUUAUAAUGUAAUUAUUUUCCCCAAAAAAAUACAUUUUGCUUGAAUGUAGCUUAAAGCACCUAUUAAUACUAUUAAUACCUUAAAUGCACACAUUCAUACACACUCAAACAAAAGCCCCGUUGGUAGUUGGACCUUUUCAUCACGUUACUACUCCACAGUGCUGCUGCUGCUCCUGUUGAAGGCACAGUUGCAUUUUAGUUUCCCUUUCUCGAUUUGAAGAUAAAAAAAAAACUGUUCACCAUUCAUUUUCCAUUCACAGUGUUGCCAUUUUCUUCCUGCCUUUUUUUCAAUUUGAAACCAAGUUAUUAUUUAUUUAUUAUUAUGCAUCUGAAUGUGGUUAAGCUAGGUCAUUUUAAAGCUAACGUAAAACUUUGGAAUGUUUGAAAAUAGGUCAGCGGUGCACUUUUUACACUGGUGCAGUGUGUGUGUGUGUGUGUGUGUGUGUGUGUGUGUGUGUGUGUGUGUGUGUGUGUGUGUGUGUGUGUGUGUUAUGUUUGUGUACAUACAUAGCAAAUGUGCAUUUGUUAUCCAAUUUAAAGAGACAGAAGUAAACCUGCUGAUAGGAAGACGCCUCCUUGGCUCAAAGUGGACUUAAUGUGGGAGCCUGUCUGUAUGUAGUCUGACCAGGACUGAAAUGCAUCCGUCAUCGUGUUAGGAUGUGCCAAAGAGUCUGUUUACUUCCUUGUUUUGCCUCUGUAAAAGCAGUUUACAUUGGACCCUGAUGGUGGAGGAAACUCUGCACAGCGAUCGAGUCCCCCCCGAGGAUUUUCAAACCGAACAAUGGACUACAUCAGCGGCGAUCUGCAUCCACUACAUUCACAGCAGAGAAAUGAAGACUCUGGGCUACUGUAGCGGCUUCAUGGGACUCGUGUUGUUACUGUAGGAUUGUUAGAUUAUUCCAAUUAAACAUGAACACAAACCAAACUGGAUUUCACGCACGGCUCUGGAGAACUGCCAGCCCUCAGUCCAAACACAGAAACACAGGCUUCUGACGUCUGUUUCUUUCUACAUUGCUUCAGAUUUCGUUUGUAUCAACCCAGAACUGAAGCAAUAACUAAAUGCUCCAUGUAGGCGAGCUUUUAAAGUUUGUUCAAGUGUUGCCCAUGUUUGAAACAUGACUGUUGGAUCCAAAACAACAAUACCCGAACCCUUUUAUGGAGUAUAGAUACAUAUUAUAUAACUACAUGUACUUAAGAAACUGUUGACGCUAGUAGAGCUAUCAGCAGUUCUAUUAGCAAGGUAGUUAAAA